rnacentral:lncRNA from 1 species
GUAGUUCAGAGGCGCCCACCCUCACUCCGCCCAGUAGCCAUAGAGUGGCUCCACAAGGGCGGCCCAGGAAACUAUACCUCCACAGCUCGCGCUCGGCCACCCGGACUACAACACCCAGCAAGCCCUGCGGCCCCGCGUCUGACUUGCGCAGUAGCCUCCGUUGUAAAAUGCUAUGACAACAGGGCGAAGGCGGCUUGGAUUUAGGCUGGAGUGGGGUGGUGUCUUCCGCAGGCUGUUGUCUUGCAGUCUCACCCCUCUUACAGUCUCCCUGGUGGUUUCAUCCUCUCUGCGAGCAUCCAGACCUGGAGUUUUUCUCUCUUGUCUUGUGGCUUCCGAGGGAUCCAUGUCGUUUCCCCUGCUUGUCUCUGAGGGAUGACAAGUGGGUGCAGAAGAUCUUGGAGGGACUUAUUUCAACUCCGUGGAGCUUGUGUUACUGCUUGGCAGGAGUCUGUCUGUCUGCGGACGUGGAAAACUUCGAACACAAGACCAAGAGACCACAGCAGUUUAGAUGGACUAAGCUGAUUUUAUUAGCAGCUCCUCCAGAGCAAGACAUUAAAUUGUACAGCAUUAUUAGCGUGUACCAAAAGAAGGGUCCGAAACCUGGGCAGCGCAUGCGCAGAAGCAAGGUUGAAAGGAAAUGUCCUUAUUUAAAGCCCGUGACUGGUGGUCUACUGUGCUGGGAGAGAAAGAAGAGUUUGAUCAGGGCUGUUUGUGCUUGGCUGACGUGGACAACAGCAGGAAUGGACAGGAUAAAAUCAUUGUGGGCAGCUUCAUGGGCUACCUGA